rnacentral:rRNA from 1 species
AUUGAACGCUGGUGGCAUGCCUAACACAUGCAAGUCGAACGGCAGCGCGGGUAGCAAUACUUGGCGGCGAGUGGCGGACGGGUGAGGAAUGCAUCGGAAUCUGCCCAGUUGUGGGGGAUAACUGGCCGAAAGGCCAGCUAAUACCGCAUACGACCGAGAGGUGAAAGCGGGGGACCUUCGGGCCUCGCGCGAUUGGAUGAGCCGAUGCCGGAUUAGCUAGUUGGUGGGGUAAAGGCCUACCAAGGCGACGAUCCGUAGCUGGUCUGAGAGGAUGAUCAGCCACACUGGAACUGAGACACGGUCCAGACUCCUACGGGAGGCAGCAGUGGGGAAUAUUGGACAAUGGGCGCAAGCCUGAUCCAGCAAUGUCGCGUGUGUGAAGAAGGCCUC